CAGUCGCCACGGUAAUACGAAGGGUGCAAGCGUUAAUCGGAAUUACUGGGCGUAAAGCGUGCGUAGGCGGUGAGUUAAGUCUGCUGUGAAAUCCCCGGGCUCAACCUGGGAAUGGCAGUGGAUACUGGCUCGCUAGAGUGUGUCAGAGGGGGGUGGAAUUCCACGUGUAGCAGUGAAAUGCGUAGAUAUGUGGAGGAACACCGAUGGCGAAGGCAGCCCCCUGGGAUAACACUGACGCUCAUGCACGAAAGCGUGGGGAGCAAACAGGAUUAGAUACCCCGGUAGUCCCUGUCUCUUAUAC
rnacentral:rRNA from 1 species